rnacentral:rRNA from 1 species
UGAGGAAUUUUCCGCAAUUGGCGCAAGCCUGACGGAGCGACGCCGCGUGAGGGAUGAAGUAUUUCGGUAUGUAAACCUCUUUUGUGGGGGAAAAAGAUGUCCGUGCUCAUACCACGGGCAUUUGAUGGUACUCCGCGAAUAAGCCCCGGCUAACUACGUGCCAGCAGCCGCGGUAAUACGGGGGGUGCAAGCGUUGUUCGGAAUUAUUGGGCGUAAAGAGCGUGUAGGCGGCUGGAUGUGUCAGAUGUGAAAGCCCUGGGCUUAACCCAGGAAGUGCAUUUGAAACUGUCCGGCUUGAGUAGGGGAGAGGGAAGUGGAAUUCCUGGUGUAGAGGUGAAAUUCGUAGAUAUCAGGAGGAACACCGGUGGCGAAGGCGACUUCCUGGCCCUAUACUGACGCUGAGACGCGAGAGCGUGGGUAGCAAACA